GAUGAACGCUGGCGGCGUGCCUAAUACAUGCAAGUCGAGCGAACAGACGAGGAGCUUGCUCCUCUGACGUUAGCGGCGGACGGGUGAGUAACACGUGGAUAACCUACCUAUAAGACUGGGAUAACUUCGGGAAACCGGAGCUAAUACCGGAUAACAUGUUGAACCGCAUGGUUCAACAGUGAAAGACGGUCUUGCUGUCACUUAUAGAUGGAUCCGCGCCGCAUUAGCUAGUUGGUAAGGUAACGGCUUACCAAGGCAACGAUGCGUAGCCGACCUGAGAGGGUGAUCGGCCACACUGGAACUGAGACACGGUCCAGACUCCUACGGGAGGCAGCAGUAGGGAAUCUUCCGCAAAGGGCGAAAGCCUGACGGAGCAACGCCGCGUGAGUGAAGAAGGUCUUCGGAUCGUAAAACUCUGUUAUUAGGGAAGAACAAAUGUGUAAGUAACUAUGUACGUCUUGACGGUACCUAAUCAGAAAGCCACGGCUAACUACGUG
rnacentral:rRNA from 1 species